AUGAGUUUUCGCGAUCUUGAGUUAUUCAACCUGGCACUGCUUGGUAAGCAUGGAUGGAGAUUUAUUACUAAUCCUAACUCUUUAUGUGCCCAAGUGAUGAAGGGGCGUUAUUUUCCGGAUUGUGAUUUUAUGGAGGCUUCAGUACCACACACAUCGUCUGCUAUUUGGCGAGCGAUCAUCGCCGGAAGGGAAGCUCUCCAUGUUGGUCUCAUUAAGAGGGUGGGGGACGGCAACACUAUCUCGAUUUGGGAAGAUAAGUGGAUCCCGGGCCUUUCAUCUCUGUCCCCUACGGUGAUGCCGGGAGGGACUCUUGCCACCGUCGGUGAGCUCAUCGACCAUGACAACGGGACGUGGCGGCGGGAAUUGAUCUACAAUGUUUUCAUUCGACCGGACGCCGACGCCAUAUUGAAUAUCCCCUUGCGCCACAAUGGGGGUGAUGAUUUUCGAGCUUGGGUUUUUGAAAGAAGCGGCAACUACUCCGUAAAAUCUGCGUACCGUGCUCUCGUGACUCGGAAAGAGCGGCUAGCUCAAGAGGAAGGGGCGGUUACAAACUCCUCACAGACCGAUGAACGGAUGUGGAAGUCGCUUUGGAAGCUUAGGGUUUUGCCGAAGGCUCACGGUCUCUUUGGCGUUCGACGGCCGCGGCUGCACCCUGAUACAUGGUCUCGUGAUAUCAUAUGUGAUGAUCAAUUCACGGACACUGAAAGGGCCCAAAUGAUCUCUGUUAUGUGGGCAAUCUGGCACUCGAGAAAUCGAGUGACUCAUGAUGAUGACCAGCUGGAGCCUUUCACUUCGGUGAGGCGGAUUCGGGAGGACUUGGCAUUGCUGGAUAUCCCGCAUUCUCAUGCUGCAGUGCUACCAGGUCAUGGUUGGAGACCGCCGGACUCAGGGGUGGUUAAGAUCAACACGGAUGCAGCUUUGAGUAUGGAUUCCGACAAGGUGGGUGUGGGUGGUGUAGCACGUUCUAACACAACCUUGUUGGGUGCUUGGAGUAAACCUCAUAUUGGGGUCACGGAUCCUUUUAUCGGUGAGACGUUUGCGCUUCGAGAUGGAGUUAUUUUUGCAAAUCUACGGGGCUUCUCACAUGUGAUAAUGGAAACGGAUUGCCUGGAGAUUGUUAAUCUCUGGAACACUCGCCACAACAGCCUCUUUGUGGUGGCACCUUUACUUGUCGAAAUUGGAGAGCUAGCUGCUACUUUUUCUUCUUUUUUAUUCAACAUGUAA
rnacentral:rRNA from 1 species